rnacentral:rRNA from 1 species
GUAGGGUGCAGGCGUUAAUCGGAAUUACUGGGCGUAAAGCGUGCGCAGGCGGUUUGUUAAGACAGGUGUGAAAUCCCCGGGCUUAACCUGGGAACUGCGCUUGUUACUGGCAGACUUGAGUGUGGCAGAGGGGGGUGGAAUUCCAGGUGUAGCAGUGAAAUGCGUAGAGAUCUGGAGGAACACCAAUGGCGAAGGCAGCCCCCUGGGUUAACACUGACGCUCAUGCACGAAAGCGUGGGGAGCAAACAGGAUUAGAUACCCUGGUAGUCCACGCCCUAAACUAUGUCAACUGGUUGUCGGGGAAGCAAUUCCUUGGUAACGAAGCUAACGCGUGAAGUUGACCGCCUGGGGAGUACGGCCGCAAGGUUA